rnacentral:lncRNA from 1 species
ACCCACAUAAAUUCUAGUAUCUUCUUUUCUUCUUUUUUUUUUCAAAUAUUUCUAAUUUGAAAAGUAUUUUGGUGAGGAGUGUGAUUUGAGAUAGGGUGUGUUUUGUGAGUUUGUGUGUGGUUUGAGAAGGAAAGUUGUGGGUAUUUAUAGAAAAUAAAGGCUCGCUAAUUCCUCGUAACUGUUUAACUCGUUAAUUCCACGUAACCCUUUUCGUCGUAAAAACGUCGU